rnacentral:rRNA from 2 species
AAAUGACUCUCGGCAACGGAUAUCCCGGCUCUCGCAUCGAUGAAGAACGUAGCGAAAUGCGAUACUUGGUGUGAAUUGCAGAAUCCCGUGAACCAUCGAGUCUUUGAACGCAAGUUGUGCCUGAAGCCAUUAGGCUGAGGGCACGUCUGCCUGGGUGUCACGC